rnacentral:rRNA from 1 species
AUGGAUCCAGCAGAGGUUCUCAAUGUCAGGUUUCACUAUGGAGGGGAGUUCAUUCAUAUUGGGCCAUCUCUUGAUUAUGUUGGGGGAGAUACUGCAUUGUCAGAGAUAGAGAGGGAUAAGUUGUCACUGCCAGAGCUCAGAGGAUUUUUAGGAGACCACUUGACAGUUAAAGAGAGCAUGAAGCGGUAUUUUCUUAUGCCAGGGAGAGAGUUGGUUAAUGGGCUAUUGUUUCUAUACACUGAUGAAGGUUGCCUGCAGAUGUCAGAGUACAUAACAGAUGGAGGGGUUGCUGAUGUUUUUGUGGAGUACAAUGGUGAGCAAGAUGAACCAGAGGGAGAAGAUAGUGGCUCUGAUUUUGAAGAAGAUGAGUUGAAUGACAUGCUAAACAAUGCUAGUGAGGAAGAACCAGAUGUAGUUAUCACUGCAGAAGAAGAAGAAGAUCAUGUUUAG